UUUAAUAAAAUUGCGAACAAAUUUCAGAGUCAAUGCUUUAUUGCAAAUGUCCGAGAAGAGUUAGAAAAGCGCACUCCAGUUCAGUUACGACAUGAAAUCCUUGGCAAAUUGUUAGGAGGAGAAAAUCUUGAUGUAGGCACACCAUGUACAUUGCGUCAUUCAACUGAAAGAAGACUUCAAAAUACAAAAGCUCUUAUUGUUCUUGAUGAUGUGUAUGGUUACUUACACCUAAAAGAGUUAGUAGAAGGGUGGAAUUUGUGUGGUCCAGGAAGUAGAAUCAUUGU
rnacentral:misc_RNA from 1 species